rnacentral:rRNA from 1 species
AGAGUUUGAUCAUGGCUCAGAACGAACGCUGGCGGCAGGCUUAACACAUGCAAGUCGAACGCCCCGCAUGGGGAGUGGCAGACGGGUGAGUAACGCGUGGGAAUCUACCCAGAUCUUCGGAACAACUGAGGGAAACUUCAGCUAAUACCGGAUACGCCCUACGGGGGAAAGAUUUAUCGGUUCUGGAUGAGCCCGCGUUGGAUUAGCUAGUUGGUGGGGUAAUGGCCUACCAAGGCGACGAUCCAUAGCUGGUCUGAGAGGAUGAUCAGCCACACUGGGACUGAGACACGGCCCAGACUCCUACGGGAGGCAGCAGUGGGGAAUAUUGGACAAUGGGCGAAAGCCUGAUCCAGCCAUGCCGCGUGAGUGAUGAAGGCCUUAGGGUUGUAAAGCUCUUUCAGUAGGGAAGAUAAUGACGGUACCUACAGAAGAAGCCCCGGCUAACUUCGUGCCAGCAGCGGCGGUAAUAC